rnacentral:ncRNA from 1 species
ACCGGUAGAGGCGCGUCUUUCAUCAGUAACAGGGACUUCAGACUGCCAGGUCGUAAAAAGCCGUGUGAAAGGGUCAGACGCCGAAGGUUGGCGCCGUUGGCGGGCGUACUUCCUGGGCACACAGUCGAAAAGGCGUGUGACUGUCAUCAUUGGACUAUGAUGGAGGGCUAUGGGU